rnacentral:rRNA from 1 species
GUGCCAGCCGCCGCGGUAAUACCGGCAGUUCGAGUGAUGGCCGAUCUUAUUGGGCCUAAAGCGUCCGUAGCCGGCCGGGCAAGUCCGUUGGGAAAUCUGUUCGCUUAACGAACAGGCGUCCAGCGGAAACUGCUCGGCUUGGGACCGAAAGACCUGAGGGGUACGUCCGGGGUAGGAGUGAAAUCCUGUGAUCCUGGACGGACCGCCGAUGGGGAAACCACCUCAGGAGGACGGAUCCGACGGUGAGGGACGAAAGCUAGGGUCUCGAACCGGAUUAGAAACCCCAGUAGUCC